CCGGGUCGUAGCGCAGAGGCAGUCGUCCCACCUUGCCAGGGUGGAGCACGCGGGUUCGAAUCCCGCCGCCCGGA
rnacentral:tRNA from 1 species